rnacentral:SRP_RNA from 1 species
GCCAGAUGUGGUGAUGCAUGCCUACAAUCCUUGAUAACAGGUAGACUGAGGCUGGUGGAUCACUUGUGUAUAGGAGUUUUGAACUGUAGUAUACUGAACCAACUAGGUGUCUGAACUAAGUCCAGCACCAAUAUGGUGAGCCAAUGAGAGCCUGGGCUGCCAGGUUGCCUAAGGGGAAGUGAACCAGCCUAGAUCAGGUAAAAAAUUGAACAGGUCAAAACUCUUGUGCUGAUGAGUAAUGGGAUUGGACCCAUGAGAAGCUGCUGUACUUCCAGCCUGGGUGAGAUAAAGAGACCCAGCCUAAA